GGGCGAUUGGCUCAGUGGUAGAGCGCCCGCUUUGCAUUGCCUAAGUGUCUGCGGGAGGCCCAGGGUUCAAUCCCCUGAUCGUCCA
rnacentral:tRNA from 1 species